UCCAAAGGUUUCCUCGGGCUGGAAGAAGAUUGGCCCUCGCAAAAGCAGAAUGGAGCGUAACUGCAAGACCCACCCGUCGAGCAGGGACGACAAUCGACCUAAA
rnacentral:rRNA from 1 species